rfam:Ciona savignyi cont_62620, whole genome shotgun sequence.
GUCGUCGUGGCCCGAGUGGUUAAGGCGACAGACUAGAAUUCUGUUGGGCUCUGCCCGCACAGGUUCGAAUCCUGUCGGCGACG